GGUAACCAAGGCUCAGAGAGGCUCCCUGGCCGACUGAGGUCACGUGGGAGCCUCUAGAGCCUUGCACUGUGACAUCUUGCCCAUCAGUCAUGACAUGGAUGAAGAGAAGGGCAUCCCAGCCUGUAUUAAACAUGCUUCCUAGCUUUUGUACUUGAUAUUUUGACAUCUAGGGCCUUGCUGACCAGAGAGGGACCACCUCUUCCAGGGUUAGCUGGUUCCUAGAGAAAGCAAAAGACUGGCCCAGGAGCGCACCUCUCAUCUGCAAACCAGCCAAUCCAGAGCCCGCACCCCCACCACGUCCUUUAUUGGUUCUCACACUCCAGGCCACUAUCCACCUGCCCUAAGCCCCCAAGGGCCAGAAACCACAAGAAAGGAUCUUGCCCACAAUUUCCCCUCGCCCCCUGCACCCUGAGUGACCCCAGUGCUUCCCCGGGUGGCCCUGCAUAGCGCGGUGUGACCCUCUUCUUGGGAACUGGAGGAACCACUGAGCCGACCCCUCAGAACACCCAGCUGGUGGGAGCCAGGAGACAGUCGGGUCUUCGGAUUCAGAGCUCAUGAGAGGAGAUUAAAGCAGAGGAUUAGAGUGACAUCUGAGAGGCUGGAAAGCUGAAGACCCCAUUUCCCAGAGUCCAUGCAACUUUGGCUCCAGACGCAAUGCUCAAGUCAUCUGAGUACAUCAUGCAUUCCUGGACGAGAUGAGUUAGCGCAGAGUGAGGCGGGGGGCGGCGGGAGGGGCUGGC
rnacentral:lncRNA from 1 species